UAAGGUAGCUGUGGAACAGUAGCUCUUAAGUCUUUAUAAUAUAUCAUAAGGACCUAAUUAAGAGCUAUGGUUCUGCACCUAAUAGUAAGAUUGGUUGAUUUAUUUCAUUAUGUAUAUUGUUGUAUAUAUAUUUAUUUUUAUAUAGGUUUCUUCACAGAAUUGAUGGUAAGGUAGCUGCAGAACCAUAGCUCUUAGGUCUUUAUAAUAUAUCAUAAGGACCUAAUUAAGAGCUAUGGUUCUGCACCUAAUAGUAAGAUUGGUUGAUUUAUUUCAUUUUAUAUAUUUUCAUGUAUAUUGUUGUAUAUAUAUUUAUUUUUUAUAUAGGUUUCUUCACAGAAUUGAUGGUAAGGUAGCUGCAGAACCAUAGCUCUUAGGUCUUUAUAAUAUAUCAUAAGGACCUAAUUAAGAGCUAUGGUUCUGCACCUAAUAGUAAGAUUGGUUGAUUUAUUUCAUUUUAUAUAUUUUCAUGUAUAUUGUUGUAUAUAUAUUUAUUUUUUAUAUAGGUUUCUUCAAAGAACUGAUGGUAAGGUAGCUGUGGAACCGUAGCUCUUAGGUCUUUAUAAUAUAUCAUAAGGACCUAAUUAAGAGCUAUGGUUCCGCACCUAAUAGUAAGAUUGGUUGAUUUAUUUCAUUUUAUAUAUUUUCAUGUAUAUAUGGUUGUAUAUUUAUUUAUUUUUUAUAUAGGUUUUUUCAUAGAAUUGAUGGUAAGGAAGCUGCGGAACCGUAGCUCUUAGGUCUUUAUAAUAUAUCAUAAGGACCUAAUUAAGAGCUAUGGUUCCGCACCUAAUAAUAA